ACCGCGGUAGCCCAGUUGCUAGUGGCGUCGGCAGUACAGAUGCCAAAGGUCGCAGGUUCAAAUCCUGCCUGAGGUG